GCCCUGGUAGCUCAAUUGGUUAGAGCGUCGGACUUUUAUCAGCCUAAGCUCAUAAAGCGUCAUCCGAAGGCUGCGGGUUCGACCCCCGCCUGGGGCG